rnacentral:lncRNA from 1 species
AAGUGCCCGGGCUUAUUGCAUUCAUAACAGAUUGGCACUUCCCUUUUCUUUUCUUUGUCCUUACUCUUUUCUUUGCUUGUGUUGCCCUUGGAAAAUGGCUUCCUUUUGUGAAGUCCUUUCUUAUUUCUUAUAAAUUUUCUAAACUUCUUGGCAAGCAUAGCUACUUCUUCCUCAUCGUACCCCUCUUCACCAUCGGACUCAUCCGACUCGCUGUCUUCUUUAGGGAUUGUGGACUUCAAGGCAAUUGUCUUCUUUUUCUUGACUUCUUCUUCCGAAUUUUAAGGCAAUUGUCUUCUUUUUCUUGACUUCUUCUU